rnacentral:rRNA from 1 species
UACAGAGGGGGCAAGCGUUGUUCGGAAUUACUGGGCGUAAAGGGCGCGUAGGCGGCCUGCUAAGUCGAACGUGAAAUCCCCGGGCUCAACCCGGGAACUGCGCCCGAUACUGGCAGGCUUGAAUCCGGGAGAGGGAUGUGGAAUUCCAGGUGUAGCGGUGAAAUGCGUAGAUAUCUGGAGGAACACCGGUGGCGAAGGCGGCAUCCUGGACCGGUAUUGACGCUGAUGCGCGAAAGCCAGGGGAGCAAACGGG